rnacentral:rRNA from 1 species
GGAGUCUAGCACGUGCGCGAGUCAUUGGGUUUAAGAUAAUCUAUCGAUAAUCCUAAAGGCGCAAUGAAAGUAAAAGUCCGCCUCGCGCGGACCCAGGGAGGAUGGGUCGUGCACCUAACAAGUGCCGGCUCCGCACUCCCGGGGCGUCUCCACCCAUCUCGAUCGUCGUCGUUCGCGUCGUCGACGAGAGGGGGCGCACCCAGAGCGUACACGCUGGGACCCGAAAGAUGGUGAACUAUGCCUGGUCAGGACGAAGUCAGGGGAAACCCUGAUGGAGGUCCGUAGCGAUUCUGACGUGCAAAUCGAUCGUCGGAACUGGGUAUAGGGGCGAAAGACUAAUCGAACCAUCUAGUAGCUGGUUCCCUCCGAAGUUUCCCUCAGGAUAGCUGGCGCUCGCCAGAGAGCGAGUCUCAUCUGGUAAAGCGAAUGAUUAGAGGCAUUGGGGUCGAAACGGCCUCAACCUAUUCUCAAACUUUAAAUGGGUGAGAUCUCCGGCUUGCUUAAAUAGUGAAGCCGCGAGAUUACGGAUCAGAGUGCCAAGUGGGCCACUUUUGGUAAGCAGAACUGGCGCUGUGGGAUGAACCAAACGCCGAGUUAAAGCGCCCAAAUCGAAGCUUAUGGGACACCAUGAAAGGCGUUGGUAACUUAAGACAGCAGGACGGUGGCCAU